rnacentral:sRNA from 1 species
UCGUUUUUAUAUAUUUAUAUCGGGACGGC